AAAAACUCUUGCCAAGAUGGAGCGUGGUGGACUAACAGAAAAGGUGGUGAAGGACAAAGUACUGGUAUUCCGCUUCACAGAUGUUGGUAAACUUCCCCCACCAGUCCUGCAGUUUGUGGGAGUCACUUUUGGCUACACUCCAGAUACCCUCAUUUAUAAGAACCUUGAUUUUGGUGUGGACCUCGACUCCAGAAUAGCCUUGGUAGGGCCUAAUGGUGCUGGGAAGAGCACAUUACUCAAGCUGAUGACUGGUGAUCUUGCUCCUUUGGAUGGAAUGGUUAGGCGGCACAAUCAUCUCAGGAUUGCCCAGUUCCAUCAGCAUC
rnacentral:lncRNA from 1 species